rnacentral:rRNA from 1 species
UACGAGGGGGGCAAAUGUUGUUCGGAAUUACUGGGCGUAAAGCGCGCGCAGGCGGCUAUCCAAGUCAGUGGUGAAAGCCCGGAGCUCAACUCCGGAACUGCCAUUGAAACUGUUUAGCUUGAGGACGAGAGAGGUGAGUGGAAUUCCCAGUGUAGAGGUGAAAUUCGUAGAUAUUGGGAAGAACCCCGGUGGCGAAGGCGGCUCACUGGCUCGUAUCUGACGCUCAGGCGCGAUAGCGUGGGGAUCAAACAGG